UUAUAAAUUUAAUUCUUUUAAAAUACAAUUUUAGGCUUGAACUUGAAAAUUCCAAGUUCAAAAUUACAAUAAAAACGCAAUCAGAGGAAAUUGAACAACUUCAGGAAAACCUGUCAAAUGGGAAUUUGGUAAGUGGUCCUCGUCCUGGAUUCUUUCAUGCUGAGAGGGAGGGUCUCUGCUCUGUGGGAACACAGUGGGCAGUCCUCUGCAGUGGUGCUGUGGGAACACAGUGGGCAGUCCUCUGCAGUGGUGCUGUGGGAACACAGUGGGCAGUCCUCUGCAGUGGUGCUGUGGGAGCACAGUGGGCAGUCCUCUGCAGUGGUGCUGUGGGAACACAGUGGGCA
rnacentral:lncRNA from 1 species